rnacentral:rRNA from 1 species
GAGUUUGAUCCUGGCUCAGAAUCAACGCUGGCGGCGCGCUUAACACAUGCAAGUCGAACGAGAAAGGGGAGCAAUCCCUGAGUAAAGUGGCGUACGGGUGAGUAACACGUGGGUAAUCUACCUCUGGGUGGGGAAUAACGCUGGGAAACCGGCGCUAAUACCGCAUAACACUGAAGGGUCAAAGGCGCAAGUCGCCUGGAGAGGAGCCCGCGGCUGAUUAGCUAGUUGGUGAGGUAAAGGCUCACCAAGGCUUUGAUCGGUAGCCGGCCUGAGAGGGCACACGGCCACACUGGCACUGAAACACGGGCCAGACUCCUACGGGAGGCAGCAGUGGGGAAUCUUGCACAAUGGGGGCAACCCUGAUGCAGCGACGCUGCGUGAGCGAUGAAUCCCUUCGGGGUGUAAAGCUCUUUCGGCAGGGACGAUAAUGACGGUACCUGAAGAAGAAGCUGCGGCUAACUACGUGCCAGCAGCCGCGGUAAUACGUAGGCAGCGAGCGUUGUUCGGAAUUAUUGGGCGUAAAGGGUGCGUAGAUGGCUUGAUAAGUUAGUAGUGGGAAAUCGAGGCUCAACCUCGUGGAAGCUGGUAAUACUGUCAGGCUCGAGUGCAGGAGAGGUUAACGGAACUCCAUGUGGAGCGGUAAAAUGUGUAGAUAUAUGGAAGAACACCAAUAACGGCGAAGGCAGUUAACUAUUCUGCUACUGACAUUGAGGCACGAAAGCGUGGGGAGCAAAACGGAUUAGAUACCCGUGUAGUCCACGCCCUAAACGAUGAGUGCUAGAUAUUGGGAACUUGAUUCUCAGUGUCGCUAGAUAACUCGGUAAGCACUCCGCCUGGGUAGUAUGCUCGCAAGAGUGAAACUCAAAGGAAUUGACGGGGACUCGCACAAGCACUGGAGCAUGUGGUUUAAUCCGAUACAACGCGUAGAACCUUACCAAGGCUUGACAUGUUUGGCAAAACUCGGGAAACCGAGCAGAGGUUAUCCGAACACAGGUGCUGCAUGGCCGUCGUCAGUUCGUGCCGUGAGGUGUAUGGUUAAGUCCUAUAACGAACGCAACCCUUGGACUUAGUUGCCAGCAUUCAGUUGGGGACUCUAAGUCGACUGCCUGAGUAAUCAGGAGGAAGGAAAGGAUGACGUCUGGUCGUCAUGGCCCUUAUGCCUUGGGCGACACACGUGCUACAAUGGUUAACACAAAGGGAUGCCAACCCGCGAGGGGGAGCCAAGCCCAAAAAAUUAACCUCAGUUCGGAUUGGAGGCUGCAACUCGCCUCCAUGAAGUUGGAAUUGCUAGUAAUCGCAAAUCAGCCAUGUUGCGGUGAAUACGUUCUCGAGUCUUGUACACAC